rnacentral:rRNA from 1 species
CCCUUAGAUGUUCUGGGCCGCACGCGCGCUACACUGAUGCAUUCAACAAGCCUAGCCUUGACCGAGAGGUCCGGGUAAUCUUUGAAACUGCAUCGUGAUGGGGCUAGAUUAUUGCAAUUAUUAAUCUUCAACGAGGAAUGCCUAGUAAGCGUGAUUCAUCAAAUCGCGUUGAUUACGUCCCUGCCCUUUGUACACACCGCCCGUCGCUCCUACCGAUUGAGUGCUCAGGUGAAUAAUUCGGACUGCAGCAAUGUUUGGAUCCCGAACGUUGCAGCGGAAAGUUUAGUGAACCUUAUCACUUAGAGGAAGGAGAAGUCGUAACA